GACGAACGCUGGCGGCGUGCUUAACACAUGCAAGUCGUACGGUAAGGCCCUUUCGGGGGUACACGAGUGGCGAACGGGUGAGUAACACGUGAGUAACCUGCCCACAACUUUGGGAUAACGCUAGGAAACUGGUGCUAAUACUGGAUAUGUGCUCCUGCUGCAUGGUGGGGGUUGGAAAGCUCCGGCGGUUGUGGAUGGACUCGCGGCCUAUCAGCUUGUUGGUGGGGUAGUGGCCUACCAAGGCGGCGACGGGUAGCCGGCCUGAGAGGGUGACCGGCCACAUUGGGACUGAGAUACGGCCCAGCCUCCUCCGGGAGGCAGAGGUGGGGAAUAUUGCACAAUGGGCGCAAGCCUGAUGCAGCAACGCCGGGUGCGGGAUGACGGCCUUCGGGUUUUAAACCGCUUUCAGCAGGGACGAAGCUUUUUGUGACGGUACCUGCAGAAGAAGCCCCGGCUACCUACGU
rnacentral:rRNA from 1 species